UACGAAGGGUGCAAACGUUGCUCGGAAUUAUUGGGGCGUAAAGCGCACGUAGGCGGCUUAGCAAGUCGGAUGUGAAAUCCCUCGGCUCAACCAAGGAAGUGCAUCCGAAACUGCUGAGCUUGAGUACUUAAGAGGAUCGCGGAAUUCCCGGUGUAGAGGUGAAAUUCGUAGAUAUCGGGGAGGAACACCAGUGGCGAAGGCGGCGAUCUGGGAAGAUACUGACGCUGAGGUGCGAAAGCGUGGGGGAGCAAACAGG
rnacentral:rRNA from 1 species